rnacentral:rRNA from 2 species
UGGGGAAUAUUGGGCAAUGGGCGCAAGCCUGACCCAGCGACGCCGCGUGAGGGAAGAAGGCUUUCGGGUUGUAAACCUCUGUCCUUGGUGACGAAAAAAAUGACGGUAGCCAAGGAGGAAGCCCCGGCUAACUACGUGCCAGCAGCCGCGGUAAUACGUAGGGGGCGAGCGUUGUCCGGAAUUACUGGGCGUAAAGGGUGCGUAGGUGGCCUUUUAAGUUGGAUGUGAAAUCCCCGGGCUUAACUUGGGUGGUGCAUCUAAUACUGGAGGGCUAGAGUGCAGGAGAGGGAAGCGGAAUUCCUAGUGUAGCGGUGAAAUGCGUAGAUAUUAGGAGGAACACCAGUGGCGAAGGCGGCUUUCUGGACUGUAACUGACACUGAGGCACGAAAGCGUGGGGAGCAAACA